GGGCUUGUGGUUUAGUGGUAUAAUUUUCCCUUAGCAUUGCAUAGCACUGCGUACCGGCUGGGAAAGGUCCUGGGUUCGAUUCCCAGCAAGUCCA
rnacentral:tRNA from 1 species